AUGAUGGGAGUAAUGCCUACUGUCUAAUUCAGCCAUUUAUCAGUAUAUUGCCGCCUGCCUACGUCCUUUUCCCCACUUCCCUACUCUGCCUUCCCCACGCACCCCACAAAACCACCAAAAGGAAAGAAAAAAUUUCCCAUUUCUUGAUCAGAUCCACCAAUCGUCACUGACUGCCUCCCUCAUCAACCAUGGCUGAGAAGGAGAACUCAGAGAUCAUGGAGUCAGAUAUUAGGAUUAUUAUCAAGCGGCCCAAGAAACCUGUGGAGCCGCCUAAGGAGCCCAAAAAACCCCCUGUUGUAGUAAUUGAAAAGCCGAAGGAGCCAGGUCAUCGCCCAAAACCCCUUGGAAAAGGUGAUUGGACGAAUUAGUUUGGAAAGGCAAUUAAACGUUUUCGUUAGUUGUUUACGAAUUAGUGAAUUAUUACUACUCCUAUUUUAUCUAUCCAUCUACAUAUAAAGUAAAGCAGUGUACGCAUGUUAGACGACGCAUUAACGCUGCAGAGUAGCAGGCGUGUAUUUUUCUAUGGCAUUUAGUAGUGUCUUAAUGGAGUGAAAAGUUGGAGGGUA